rnacentral:rRNA from 1 species
UACGGAGGAUGCGAGCGUUAUCCGGAUUUAUUGGGUUUAAAGGGUGCGUAGGCGGGUUAUCAAGUCAGCGGUAAAAUCGUGGAGCUCAACUCCAUCCAGCCGUUGAAACUGAUGAUCUUGAGUGGGCGAGAAGUAUGCGGAAUGUAUGGUGUAGCGGUGAAAUGCGUAGAGAUCAUACAGAACACCGAUUGCGAAGGCAGCUUACCAAACUAUAUCUGACGUUGAGGCACGAAAGCGUGGGUAUCGAACAGG